GAUGAAGAACGCAGCGAAAUGCGAUACGUAAUGUGAAUUGCAGAAUUCAGUGAAUCAUCGAAUCUUUGAACGCAUAUUGCGCUCUUUGGUAUUCCGAAGAGCAUGCUUGUUUGAGUAUCAGUAAACACCUCAAAGCUUUUGGAUUUUUUAAUCGAAAAGCUUUGGACUUGAGCAAUCCCAACACCAAUCUUUUUGAGAUCGGUGGCGGGUUGCUUGAAAUGCAGGUGCAGCUGGACAUGCACCUGAGCUAAAAGCAUAUUCAUUUAGUCCCGUCAAACGGAUUAUUACUUUUGCUGCAGCUAACAUAAAGGGAGUUUGACCGUAUUGGCUGACUGAUGCAGGAUUUCACAAGGGUCGGCAACGAUUCUUGUUAAACUCGAUCUCAAAUCAAGUAAGACUACCCGCUGAACUUAAGCAUAUCAAUAAGCGGAGGA
rnacentral:misc_RNA from 1 species